rnacentral:misc_RNA from 1 species
GAUGAAGAACGCAGCGAAAUGCGAUACUUGGUGUGAAUUGCAGAAUCCCGUGAACCAUCGAGUCUUUGAACGCAAGUUGCGCCCGAAGCCAUUAGGCCGAGGGCACGCCUGCCUGGGCGUCACACGUCGUUGCCCCCCCAUCUACUCCUUCGGGAUUGCGGGGGGCGGAUGAUGGCCUCCCGUGCGCCUCGUCGCGCGGUUGGCAUAAAUGCCAAGUCCUCGGCGACGCACGCCACGACAAUCGGUGGUUGCGAAACCUCGGUUGCCCGUCGUGUGCGGUCGUCGCGCAUCGAGGGCUCGAAAAAAUUGCCGGGCUCCGGCUCGGCUUUCAACGCGACCCCAGGUCAGGCGGGGUUACCCGCUAAAUUUAAGCAUAUCAAUAAGCGGAGGA